UUAGGCUUGGGUGUCUUCCAAAAUGACAAAAACUUUAAAAGCCCCAAGCAUAACCCUGAGCGAAUGUAGGUGGGGCUGUGAUCUCCAGGAAACGUCAUCCUGGGAGCCUUUCAGCUCCACUGGCCGGUUUACAUAAUCAAGACCUGACACAGCAAAAGAGAGACUUACAGUCCAAUGGCUUCAGUCUUUUAAUCCUUAUUUCUACCAGUAAUCCUUUCUCUGCAAGUAGGCCCUACUUGUCCAAGUAGCUCUCUUGGCUUCAGCAGAGUGUCUUUGGCCUGCCUGUACUUAAUGUAAACUAAGAUUACUUCUGGCAUCUGUGGAAUCCUAAAAAACUAAAACAGCAGACUACGAUUGAGGGCAACAGGCUUUACAGACCCAGGAGGUCACACUGGAGUUUACAUUUGCUGCUGGCAAUUCCAAGGGUUUGCUGAAACAGCCACAGCAGAUGAAUCUCCUUUCCAACUGCAGAAUAAACACUGCAUGUGGGGUCAGCAUUAGAUGAUGCAAGAACAAGGCUGAACUUCCAGCCCAUUAGGCUCUGCGGAGCCAGAGAUGUGUUGUGUCUGCGUACCUCCCCCAGGCACUGGAGAAGAGUGUAUGUUGCUGUCCUGGCAUCCCAGCUCCUUUUCCAGGCCUAUCCAUUGCUCCAGAGUAUUUGCUGGCAGCUCUUGAGGAUGCAGGCACACCUGCAUCAAAGUGCCGCUCCUGUUUGUGGGACUACAGCCCCAGAAAGGUCGGAGAGCUGGUGCUUCCAUUACCCACGGCUGUGACUUGAUAACCUUAUGGUUCUGAGGUCAAAAAUUAAGCAGGAAAAGAGGGGCUGGAAAACCAAAAUAAAUUAAUAAUAAUUCUGAUUUCCUUAUACAUUUUAAAGAAGCAGAAUGGGGAAAACUGUUUUGCUUUGCAGGUCACUUUCACAGCAAACAGGAAUCAUUCAGCUACUGCUGGAUAAUACCAAGGGCUCUCUCAGAGGCUGACAAUUGGAAUGAUUAAAAAAAUAUGAGCAAGAUUUUAAGUGUCUCUUUGAGAAACAAGCAGAGCAAAAUUGUUCAUCAGUGGUGGAACAGACACUGUAAACAAUGUAUUUAAUGAAUCUGGAAGGAUCUUGUAAGGGAGCAGAUGACCAGCUCUGUCUUUCCAGCACAGCUCCAGUCCCUUACAGGAGUUUGUGACCUUGCCUUUCUAUCCCACACAUCAAGCUUUCUGCAGCUGUGUCUCUUUUUGCAUUUUAGAAAACGGGAAAUAUUUCACAGAAUCACAGAAUCAAUGAAAUUGGUUGGUGAUCUAGCACAGGUUGCCAAGGAUGGUGUCCAGUUGGGUUUUGAGUAUCUUUAUGGAGUGAGAUUCCACCACCUUUCUGCACAACUGACUUGUUUUGGGGCAUUCUCACAGUAAAAAAAAAAAAAAAAAAAAAAAAAAAAAAAAAAAAUUGUGUUCAGGUGGAAUCUGGUGUAUCUGGUGUUUCAGCUUGUGUGUCUCACCCUGUCAGUGUGCACUACUGAGACUGUCUGCCUCCCUCUUGUUCUCUGUGCUGCGGAUGGACCUUGGCAGCACCUGCAGGUAAUCUUGGAAAACCAGGCAGCUUUUCUGGAUGCUGUGAUCUCCAGAACCAUGUCACAAGCAGAUCCCUGAAGAGGCCAAAGUCUGCUCUUCAAAAUCAGAGUUUUCUUACCUUUUGUGCCACUAUCCCCUCUCAGGGUCCUGAACUCCACUGUCUCGCAGGCACUGGACCAAAUACUGACCCACCUUCACAUUUGCAAGCAGUUCUUCUCUGAUUCUGAGGUCCAGCAGAGCACCCUUGCUGAUUAGUUCCUCGAUCAGCCAUGCCAGGGAGUUGUCAGUGUGCUCCUGAACUUGCCUAGAUUGCUUGGGCCCCUCCCGCUGUGUUGUCAUUUCUAGCUCAAAUCUCUUCCUAGCAGCUUCAGAAGAAACCUUGGUAUAAAAUAAAUCCAGUUCCUCCAUGCUUGCUGCUGGUUCCUGCGCUCCCUGCUGCAGGCCUGGUGCAGCAUUUCCAGGUGUGCUGGCUGUAAGCUGGCUUGGAGCCCACAUCUGGUGUCCUCUGCCCCUCUGGGGCACCAGCACUUGCCUUCCUGGACAGAUGUUCACCCGAAACCACCUCACCGGUGAUACACCACAGCACACAAAUGCUCUUGGUGAAGUGUUUUUGUGUUUUCUGCUUUCCAGCUAACCACACUUGUGACUUCCUUUCUGCUCAAGGCUUUUCAUAAUGUGAAUAAACUUUCUUAACUGGUUGUUUUGGGGGGGGGUUUCCUUGAAAAUUGAAGGGUUCUCCUCAAAUCUAUUAUACUUGGGGCUGAAAACACAGGAUACAAAAUUAUUCUUUCCAAGGGCUCUAAAUAGAUGUGGCAGACAAAAGGAAGAAGUGAAGGCGGAAAAACCACCUAUGUAUGAAAAACUGUUACCAGUUCUAAAUAAAGGUAAAAGUAUUUUUGUCCAA